rnacentral:rRNA from 1 species
UUGAAAGGGAAACGAUUGAAGUCAGUCGUACCGGCGGGUAAUCAGCCUUUUGGGUGUGAUUAUGUGGAGUGUGAGGAGUUAAACACCCUCAUCUUUGCAUAUUCGUGCACUUUGGGUGUACUUGCUCGUGUGGUAGGUUAACAUCAAUUUUGAUCGUCAUAAAAUGAUUGGAGGAAUGUAGCUUCGAUCUCGUAUUGAAGUGUUAUAGCCUUCGGUAGAUGUGAUGAUUGGGAUUGAGGAUUGCAACGGAUACCCUUCGGGGCUACCUGUCUGAUCUCUGAAAGUUGCUCUGGUGCUGAAAGCUCGCUUACGGUCAUCAAAGUUGACGUUCAACAGGUUAGAACGGGAUAAAUUCGUUAAGGAUGUUGACGUA